GCUCAGUGUGCAGAGCAGCUCUGUGGCACGCUCACUGCAGACGGAACCUGCUGAUCGACGAGGUCUCUGCCAGCAGGACUCGGAAUAUUUUUGGUUUUUCCCACAGGCGUUGUCUGGUACAGACUUGAGCAGCGCUGCUCAAGCCAUGGAGGGAGUGUGUGCUGCAGUUUGCGCAGCUUUUUCCGUGGCUUAUUCUGGGUACUUUCUCACCCACCUGGCACGUCACAUCACCCGUGCCUGGAGAGAAUCCGGUCUUUGGAGCCCAACACCAACCUCGGAGGAUCCUCUGGCUGCGUGUCUUCCUGCAGAAGAGGCCAGAGGGGAGGAAGAUGCUCCCCAAACUGCGCCUGCUGCCACUGCAGGGCCUGAGCAUCCAGCAUCAGUAAGUAGCAGCUCUGGGUCGUGCUGUGGCUGGAGCAAAGCAUAGCUGCAAGUUUCUGAUCAGACAGCACCUCCUGUGCCUGGCUGAAGAUGCUGGAGGCCGGAAUCUUUCCGGCCCUUCCCCCAGUCAGUGGAGCUUGGAAAAGCAGAGUGGAACUUGGAUUGUUUAUGCAGCAGCUUCCUACUGUUCUGAAAGGGGCUGUGAAUUUGUCUUAGUAAGAGACAAGAGGUAGCAUUAGGAUGUCUUUGGAUGCUCCUGGGGUACAAGUGAGGCCCUUGGUGGCCAGUGGCUGUGCAGGCUCCCUGUCCCCUGUGAGGAGAGCAGUGCAAAGAUGCAGUUCACAAGCUUGCAGGAUACGAGGAGGCACUGUCCCCAGCAGGGACCUGGCCCUCCCCACAGAGCAGCUAAAGUCAGUAGCUAAAGGAAGAGCUGAGCUGCAGCAGGGCCUGUAGCUGAAUAUAGGUAAGGUGGUGAAUGACAGGUUCUUUCCUAUCCCUCAUGCUGCUGUCUGUCCACAGAGCACAAGGGCAGCGUCAGCACCUGCUCUGGCAGCCUCUGUACCUGAGGAAGAGGCUGAAGAGGAGGAAGGUGCCGAUGAACCUGGCCCUGCGGUCAGCCCACGGCCGGAGCAAACAACACCAGUAAGUGCCCGCUUUGGGUAGCAGCGUCUUUGGUGUCAUUUUGUCCGUCAUGUAAAAGCAGCCUUUGGAUUUUGUGCCUUGAGCUGUUGAAGCGGGCUGCACAAGCUGAGAGGUGAAGAGCCCUGGGUGUGGCCAGCAGCAUCUUCCUAGGGGCUUGCAUUUGAAAUGGAAUGGGGGCAUCUC